rnacentral:rRNA from 1 species
ACACACCGCCCGUCACUCUCCCCAAGUCUAAACCAAACCCGCAUAUAUAAUUAAACCCUUAUAGCAAAGGGGAGGCAAGUCGUAACAUGGUAAGUGUACCGGAAGGUGUACUUGGACAAACCAAAAUGUAGCUAAGACAGAAAAGCAUCUCCCUUAC